AGCAGCCGCGGUAAUUCCAGCUCCAAUAGCGUAUAUUAAAGUUGUUGCAGUUAAAAAGCUCGUAGUUGAAUUUCGGGGUCAGCAGGUCGGUCGUGCCAAUGGUAUGCACUGGCCUUGCUGAUUCCUCCCUCUUGAUGAGCCGUAAUGCCAUUAAUUUGGUGUUGCGGGGAAUCAGGACUGUUACUUUGAAAAAAUUAGAGUGUUUAAAGCAGGCAAGCGCUUGAAUACAUUAGCAUGGAAUAAUGAAAUAGGACGUUUGAUCCUAUUUUGUUGGUUUCUAGGAUUGACGUAAUGAUUAAUAGGGAUAGUUGGGGGCAUUAGUAUUCAAUUGUCAGAGGUGAAAUUCUUGGAUUUAUUGAAGACUAACUACUGCGAAAGCAUUUGCCAAGGAUGUUUUCAUUAAUCAAGAACGAAAGUUAGGGGAUCGAAGACGAUCAGAUACCGUCGUAG
rnacentral:rRNA from 1 species